AUAUCCCCUCUUGUUGUAGCACCACAAUUUCUCACCUUAGACUCACCACACGAGGCCCAAGCAUACAACCACACUGUCUAAGCCCCAUAAGUCACAGAAUAUAUUCUUAUACAUUCCCAAAAGUACCACAUUAAAAAAUAAUUUACUCUGAAGAACUUCCUAUGAAUCUAAAUUUGUUACCAUCACCUUCCUGGUAUUGACAAAUAGAAUCUAUAAUCGACAUA
rnacentral:lncRNA from 1 species